rnacentral:rRNA from 1 species
AGCAGCCGCGGUAAUUCCAGCUCCAAUAGCGUAUAUUAAAGUUGCUGCAGUUAAAAAGCUCGUAGUUGAAUUUCGGGACUAAUAUGUCGGUCGUGCCUCGGUACGUACUGGUUUAUUGGUUUCUCCUUUCUGAAGAACCAUGAUGUCAUUUAUUUGGUGUCGUGGGGAAUCAGGACUGUUACUUUGAAAAAAUUAGAGUGUUUAAAGCAGGCUCACGCUUGGAUACAUUAGCAUGGAAUAAUGAAAUAGGACGUUUGAUUCUAUUUUGUUGGUUUCUAGGAUCGACGUAAUGAUUAAUAGGGAUAGUUGGGGGCAUUAGUAUUCAAUUGUCAGAGGUGAAAUUCUUGGAUUUAUUGAAGACUAACUACUGCGAAAGCAAUUUGCCAAGGAUGUUUUCAUUAAUCAAGAACGAAAGUUAGGGGAUCGAAGACGAUCAGAUACCGUCGUAGUCUUAACCAUAAACUAUGCCGACUAGGGAUCGGAUGAUGUUAAUUUUUUAAUGACUCAUUCGGCGCCUUAC